CCCCUGAUGGUCCAGUGGUUAGGACGUGACGCUCCCAAUGCUGGGGCAUGGGUUCGAUCCCUGGUCAGGGAA
rnacentral:tRNA from 1 species